rnacentral:rRNA from 1 species
UACGAAGGGGGCUAGCGUUGUUCGGAAUUACUGGGCGUAAAGCGCACGCAGGCGGCUCGAUAAAUUAGAAGUGAAAGCCCCGGGCUUAACCUGGGAAUUGCUUUUAAGACUGUCGGGCUAGAAUCCAGAAGAGGGUAGUGGAAUUCCGAGUGUAGAGGUGAAGUUCGUAGAUAUUCGGAAGAACACCAGUGGCGAAGGCGACUACCUGGUCUGGCAUUGACGCUCAUGUGCGAAAGCGUGGGGAGCAAACAGG